UACGUAGGGUGCAAGCGUUGUCCGGAAUUAUUGGGCGUAAAGGGCUCGUAGGCGGUUUGUCGCGUCGGGAGUGAAAUCACUGGGCUUAACCGAGUGCUUGCUUUCGAUACGGGCAGACUUGAGGCAUUCAGGGGAGAACGGAAUUCCUGGUGUAGCGGUGAAAUGCGCAGAUAUCAGGAGGAACACCGGUGGCGAAGGCGGUUCUCUGGGAAUGUUCUGACGCUGAGGAGCGAAAGUGUGGGGAGCGAACAGG
rnacentral:rRNA from 1 species